GACGAACGCUGGCGGCGUGCUUAACACAUGCAAGUCGAACGGAAAGGCCCUGCUUUUGUGGGGUGCUCGAGUGGCGAACGGGUGAGUAGCACGUGAGUAACCCGCCCUUGACUUUGGGAUAACUUCAGGAAACUGGGGCUAAUACCGGAUAGGAGCUCCUGCUGCAUGGGGGGGGUUGGAAAGUUUCGGCGGUUGGGGAUGGACUCGCGGCUUAUCAGCUUGUUGGUGGGGUAGUGGCUUACCAAGGCUUUGACGGGUAGCCGGCCUGAGAGGGUGACCGGCCACAUUGGGACUGAGAUACGGACCAGACUCCUACGGGAGGCAGCAGUGGGGAAUAUUGCACAAUGGGCGGGAGCCUGAGGCAGCAACGCCGCGUGCGGGAUGACGGCCUUCGGGUUGUGAACCGCUUUCGCCGGUGACGAAGCGUGAGUGACGGUAAUGGGUAAAGAAGCACCGGCUAACUACGUG
rnacentral:rRNA from 1 species